GAUGAAGAACGUAGCGAAAUGCGAUACUGGGUGUGAAUUGCAGAAUCCCGUGAACCAUCGAGUCUUUGAACGCAAGUUGCGCCCGAAGCCAUUAGGCCGAGGGCACGCCUGCCUGGGCGUCACACGUCGUUGCCCCCCCCAUCUACUCCUUCGGGAUUGCGGGGGGCGGAUGAUGGCCUCCCGUGCGCCUCGCCGCGCGGUUGGCAUAAAUGCCAAGUCCUCGGCGACGCACGCCACGACAAUCGGUGGUUGCGAAACCUCGGUUGCCCGUCGUGUGCGGUCGUCGCGCAUCGAGGGCUCGAAAAAAUUGCCGAGUUCCGGCUCGGCUUUCAACGCGACCCCAGGUCAGGCGGGGUUACCCGCUGAAUUUAAGCAUAUCAAUAAGCGGAGGA
rnacentral:misc_RNA from 1 species